GACGAACGCUGGCGGCGUGCUUAACACAUGCAAGUCGAACGGAAAGGCCCUGCUUUUUUGGGGUGCUCGAGUGGCGAACUGGUGAGUAACACGUGAGUAACCUGUCCUUGACUUUGGGAUAACUUCAUGAAACUGGGUCUAAUACCGGAUAGGAUCUCCUGCUGCAUGGUGGGGGUGGGAAAGUUUCGGCGGUUGGUGAUGGACUCGCGUCUUAUCAGAUUGUUGGUUGGGUAGUGGAUUACCAAGGCUUUGACGGGUAGCCGGCCUGAGAGGGUGACCGGCCACGUUGGGACUGAGAUGAGGCACAGACUCCUACGGGAGGCAGCAGAGGGGAAUAUUGCACAAUGGGCGGAAGCCUGAUGCAGCACAGCAGCGUGCGGGAAGACGUCAUUCGGGUUGUAAACCGCUUUCGCCUGUGCCGAAGCGUGAGUGACAGUAAUGGGUAAAGAAGCACCGGCUAACUCCGUG
rnacentral:rRNA from 1 species